rnacentral:rRNA from 1 species
GAUGAACGCUGGCGGCGUGCCUAAUACAUGCAAGUCGAGCGAACAGACGAGGAGCUUGCUCCUCUGACGUUAGCGGCGGACGGGUGAGUAACACGUGGAUAACCUACCUAUAAGACUGGGAUAACUUCGGGAAACCGGAGCUAAUACCGGAUAAUAUAUUGAACCGCAUGGUUCAAUAGUGAAAGACGGUUUUGCUGUCACUUAUAGAUGGAUCCGCGCCGCAUUAGCUAGUUGGUAGGGUAACGGCUUACCAAGGCAACGAUGCGUAGCCGACCUGAGAGGGUGGUCGGCCACACUGGAACUGAGACACGGUCCAGACUCCUACGAGAGGCAGCAGUAGGGAAUCGUCCGCAAUGGGCGAAAGCCUGACGGAGCAACGCCGCGUGAGUGAUGAAGGUCUUCGGAUCGUAAAACUCUGUUAUUAGGGAAGAACAAAUGUGUAAGUAACUAUGCACGUCUUGACGGUACCUAAUCAGAAAGCCACGGCUAACUACGUG